GCAGAUAUAGUAUAGUGGUCAUUACUUCAGUUUCCCAAACUGAUGAGGCGGGUUCGAUUCCCGUUAUCUGCUCCA
rnacentral:tRNA from 1 species